rnacentral:rRNA from 1 species
UACGGAGGGGGCUAGCGUUGUUCGGAAUUACUGGGCGUAAAGGGCGCGUAGGCGGCGCGAUAAGUUGGGCGUGAAAGGCCCGGGCCCAACCCGGGGACUGCGCUUGAUACUGUCGCGCUGUGAGUCCGGGAGAGGAUGGCGGAAUUCCCAGUGUAGCGGUGAAAUGCGUAGAUACUGGGAGGAACACCGGUGGCGAAGGCGGCUACCUGGACCGGAGCUGACGCUGAGGCGCGAAAGCGUGGGUAGCAAACAGG